rnacentral:snRNA from 1 species
GUGCUUGCAUCAAUAGCACAUAUACUAAAAUGAAAAUGAUACAAAGAAGAUUACCAUGGCCCCUACACAAGGAUGACAUACAAAUUUAUGAAGUGUUCCAUAAACGA